GGUGGUCUGCAUCCAAACAUGGCGGCUUCCAUAAACGAAAAAGUUCAUUCGAAAACAGUAUUAGUUUUCAGAGAAAUGGUUGCGACUUUACACGCAACUGUUAAAGAUAAAUACCAUAACUGCAAAGAUUCCGACAGAGAAUGUUAUUCUGACUGUGAUAAAAGAUGCAGUAUUUUUCUGGAAAAAUUAUCCACUAAUACUUCAGACUCAAUACAGCAACUUCUUCAAGAAUUUACACCUAUUGUGCUAGAUUUUACAUUUAUUAAUGAAAAUAUACUAGUAAAUCAAGACUUUCCAGAAUCAAUUUCAACUUCUGUUAUCCAGUCAGUUUUUAGUAGAUGAGUUAGAGAAUAUUAUAACUGUAGCUAAAACCAUACUGCCUGAUCAGCAGCCUAUAGAUAGUUUAGGAGAAGAGUUAUUAGAAUGUAUAUAUUGGAGAAAGGGAGCAUUAUAUUAUAUGUAUUGUAAAACUAUAGAGAAUAAUAAAGAUAGAAUAAAUAAAGAUAUACAACAAUAUCAAAAGUAUUUAGUAAGUGGCAUUGAGAAUUUGAAAAUGAUGUUAGAGACAAGGAAACCUGUUGUUAAAGAUCGAUCAUAUGCAGUGACAGAAGAUGAAGAUACAUUUGACCUCAUAAAAUCAGGAAUAUAUUCUGAUACCCAUGUAUUAGCCUUGAUAUAUGGCAGUGAACUGUGUUACUGGUUAGAUAAAUGUGAUAAAGAAAACUUAUUUCAAACUAAUCAUUUGGACUAUAAACAAAUAGGACAAUGUUAUCUAAAACUGUAUAUACAAGUUGUUAACGGGCCACUGAAGAAUCAAGGCUGGAGUGUGGAGAAUGCAGAAAGUAUGCUAAAGUCGAUUGAAGAAUCAUAACAUAGAUAUAGAUUAAAGGAGCACUGGCAGAUAGUUUUAUUUUUGCUGUUGUCAAGUCACUUUCUUGCUUUCAAAAAUAAAUUGUUAGUUCUGUAAUUGAAUUAGUCAUCAAGAUACCUUUUUUCACAACAAAGCAACAAAUUAAUUAGAAUUUGAAUUAUAUCAUCAGGGUUUAUGGACCUGCUUAGUAGUCCAACCUUCGAUGAUGGGUUGUCUUCAUCAUUCUUUGUUUAGUCGAAAAGAAGAAAACAUCAGUAAACUAUCAUCUCUCCUGUCUAAGGUGUAGACGUAAAGAAGAACAUUCGCUUGGCUUGUGAGAUUUCGUUGAUCGAUUGGGACUCCCCAUAUAUAUAUCCUCCUGUAAUUAUGGACCUGCUUAUCAGUCCAACCUUCCAUGAUGGGUUGUAUAUGUUCAAUGUAGUUGGGGGUGUAAGAUUGACCAUACAAUAAUUCAACAACUCAUUUCUUCUUGGUAUGGUUCCCCAUUCUUGUAGCAAACUUAAACAAUAAUACAUAUUAUACAAUAAUGACCCACAGGCUAGGUUACUUAAUAAGGAACAGUGUCUAAGAAAUAACUUAUCAGAGACCUGCCCCUCAGUAUGCCUGUGGUCAACUACCUACCAUCUACAAUCUUCCCUUUAAUAUACUAGAGGUUACUUGGUAACAAUAAACAAUAAUAUUAUAUAUAAUUAAAAUUAAUAAUAUUUUAUAAUUAAGGGGUAGUAUUUAAAGCGAGAAUUUCAAAUUUUCGAAGAAAGUCAAAACAUAAUUAUUUCUAUGUCUUUUGCUCAAUAGGUUAUCAAAUCACUAUUAUACAAUCAUGGGCAUUAUUCCCACCCUUACAAGUCGAUUACACAGGAAAUAACAACACAAUUACCUCCCCUGUUUUGCUAUUGACAACAUGGGGCAGCCAUUUUCCAACGUUGGAAAUUGAAGUUAAAAAUGAUAUUUUUGCCAAUUUCUCAGCUGGCAAUAGCGAAUUAUAGGAUUAAUAGGAUUAUUCUUUAACAAGGUAGGACUGUUUAUGGAUACCAUCUAUUUUAGGGCUUUAUUUUAAUACAUUUUAAAAAUAUAACUUGAAAAUUUGCAAUUUCCGCUUUAAUUGACAUCCAUUCAUUCAUCAUUUACUAAGGUAACUAUUUGGGCCUUGUUUAUGGGUGAAUUAUCUCAUUACUACUAUUGUCCAUUAUCUCUGUCAUAGCUGACCAUUGUUAAUUUACUUUACAUAAUCCAUCUUGGGUGCCUAGUUAUGUGUAAGUCUACUACCUUAAUAUUGGGUGAAUGGCUGUUUUAAAUACUACCUGGUCACAAUUACCAGUAGCAGUAUCUUGUGUAACAUACCAUUGCCCAUGCUCGCAUUAUGUAAUCUUGUGACAAAAGAUGUUUUUUUAAUUUUAUUGUAAAUUCAUAUGCAUUAUUAAAAGUCAUGUCAACUUCUCUGUGAAUCAUUCAGAAUAAUGAUUUAAUAAUAAUUUAAUGAACUUAACACCAUACUUUAUUUAUUAUAUGUCUUUAUACUCCAUAUUUAUACUGCAGUCUGUGAAAUAAGUGUUCAGGGGCACUUUAUAAAUGUACAAUACAUUGUAUAUGAAACUUUUUUUUAUAAGAAUAAUAUAUUAUAGUAGCCUUGAAUACCUGUAAAAAUAAGAACUAGGUUUUGUACAGUUAUGUAUGUAUAUUAAUGUGUCACAUUUAACUAUACAUUGUACAUGUAUACAAACAAUAUUUAUCAUACAUUAAGAAAUUUUAAUUGUUGUUCAAUUUCAUAUUCAUAUGCAGUCUGUAGAUAUACAUGUGUAGAAAACAUAAUACCGGGUAGUACAGUUUAUAUGAAAUAUCAUAUGCUUUAGUUCAAAUAUGCAUGUAUUGCCUGAAUUGCUGGGUAAUAUGGUCAUUCAUGAUAUUUUAGUAAAUUAUUUUUAUUCCUUGGAAAUAGACAAGGUUGUGAGUCCAGUGAAUGGUAUAAUGCAUAUAAGGGGUGAUUGUAAUGAAGUCUUCUCUGAUGUCUUUUUUUUAUGGUAUUAUAAAUUCUGCUACACACUACACUGGUCCAUUCUAGAAAGAUUAAGCAAGUGAUGAUUUUGUAUAAAAGAUCAAAUUAUUUUUUUUGUCACUAUUGAUAUAAUUAUAUAUUUUUUUUAUUAUGUUAUAUAUAAUAUUUUCAUAUGUAAAAUAAAAAUA